AUUGAACGCUGGCGGCAUGCCUUACACAUGCAAGUCGAACGGCAGCACGGGAGCAAUCCUGGUGGCGAGUGGCGAACGGGUGAGUAAUGUAUCGGAACGUACCUUUCAGUGGGGGAGUAACGUAGCGAAAGUUACGCUAAUACCGCAUAUUCUGUGAGCAGGAAAGCAGGGGAGUCGCAAGACCUUGCGCUGAUUGAGCGGCCGAUAUCAGAUUAGCUAGUUGGUGAGGUAAAGGCUCACCAAGGCGACGAUCUGUAGCGGGUCUGAGAGGAUGAUCCGCCACACUGGAACUGAGACACGGUCCAGACUCCUACGGGAGGCAGCAGUGGGGAAUUUUGGACAAUGGGCGCAAGCCUGAUCCAGCCAUGCCGCGUGAGUGAAGAAGGCCU
rnacentral:rRNA from 1 species